UACGUAGGUGGCAAGCGUUGUCCGGAUUUACUGGGCGUAAAGAGCGCGCAGGCGGUCGUUCAAGUCGCGUGUGAAAGCCCCCGGCUCAACUGGGGAGGGUCACGCGAUACUGAUCGACUCGAAGGCAGGAGAGGGAAGUGGAAUUCCCGGUGUAGUGGUGAAAUGCGUAGAUAUCGGGAGGAACACCAGUGGCGAAGGCGGCCCGCUGGGCAGUGGCUGACGCUGAGGCGCGACAGCGUGGGGAGCAAACAGG
rnacentral:rRNA from 1 species